rnacentral:rRNA from 1 species
GGAGGGUGCAAGCGUUGUCCGGAUUUAUUGGGUUUAAAGGGUGCGUAGCGGUCUUUUAAGUCAGUGGUGAAAUCCUGCAGCUCAACUGUAGAACAGCCAUUGAUACUGAAAGACUUGAGUACAGACGAGGUAGGCGGAAUUUAUGGUGUAGCGGUGAAAUGCAUAGAUACCAUAAAGAACCCCUAUUGCGAAGGCAGCUUACUAGGCUGUAACUGACGCUGAGGCACGAAAGCGUGGGGAUCAAACAGGAUUAGAUACCCUGGUAGUCCACGCCGUAAACGAUGAUUACUCGAUGUUCGCGAUAUACAGUGAGCGUCCAAGCGAAAGCGUUAAGUAAUCCACCUGGGAAGUACGAUCGCAAGAUUG